ACCCGUGCUUGUUAUGUGUUAUGGGUUGCGACCGAGCUUAGCGCUGUUCAUUUUUUUACACAAUAGCUCUGUAAAAAAUUGCACACGCCUUACUGAACAUCGCGCCAGCCAUGGCUUUCAGCGAGUCGAAAGCGACCUGAAACGCCCCAAAAACGGCCCCAUUGCACCAACAGGGAGCAA
rnacentral:sRNA from 1 species